GGCAGUUCUCAGGUGACGCACCCUGGAAUCGGGCUCCCUCCUCUCUGGUUCUGGGUGCAUCACCCGAGAACUGCA
rfam:Myotis lucifugus cont2.44625, whole genome shotgun sequence.